CUUAGAGUGAGUUUUGUGUUUCCUUUUGUCUGAUCUAUUAUAUAUUGGUUAGAAGCCUGGCAAGAAGCAAAGGGUACUCUCAGAAGGAGUCAUUGAAGAGAAGUCCAUAAAGGGACUCUUUACAGGCCUGUGUAGGGCAAAGCGAAAUGAUGAAGGAGGAGAUAAGCAGUCUGGGUAACCUUGCCAAUCUGUGCCUGAGGAGGCAUGAGGGCAGUUCCCAGAACCUACAAGAACCGUGGAAGUAGGAAGACUUGCAGUGGGAGCCAGGGCAGCAGACAGAGCCCAACCCCUGCCAAACAGUGACGUGACCUGGAAGGAGCCAGGGGACCGUACACCUUGACCUCUUUCUUCUACACCCUCAUCUCCUGCAGGCGCCUCCCAUCAGUGAAGUCCAAACUGCAGCCAAACUCCAAGGAAGCCCAGCUGAUGCAGUCCCUAGAUAUCAGCCUCCCAGGGCAGAAGACAGUGUCAAAAGGGGUAGAGAAUGUUAUGCAGAGGGAUGAGAUGAGGAUGACCCAACCACACUGCAACGUGCUAUAGUAAAAGAUUUCACCUUAAAUAUCUGGAGCUGACUUGCUGGAUUUGCACUCUGGUUAAUGCUCUUUUUCUGCUCGGGGUGUUUGGUAGUCAAGUUAUGUGAACACUUGGCUUCUGUUGAGAGUCCAGAGGCAGGAAGGCAUCACAGUGUUAAAGUUUUAGAGUUGCUGACCCAGAAUUUAUGCCACAUUUCUCCCAGUCACCAGCCGGUGACCUAGUGCAAGCUAAAGGGCCCCUCUGAACCAUGCUGUCUAGUCCAUAUCAUGGGAGAAAAAGCAGUUGUCUUGCUGGCUAGUUAGGAACAUUAGAUGAAAUGACAUGAGUCUCCUUUGCCUUUACUACUAUGUGAAACCCAAAGGCACUGUGGCUGAGAGUGCAGGUUCUGGAAAUGGAAUGACUGGAUUCAAGUCCCAACUCUGCCAUUUAAAACUCUGUCUUUGGACCAGCUACUUAACCUUCUAGCAUCUCAGAUCUUUCAUCUGCAAAAUGAAGGAAACCAGUCCUCACUGUAUAAGGUUGUUGUGAGAAUUAAAUGAGCUAUUACAUGAAAUUGAUUACAUGUGAUUAGAAUAACGUGUCACUCUAUCGUCAACAUGCUGUUACAGGUAAAGCUCUGAGAUGAAGACGGUGUGCUUAAUACACACUGAACUCCAUUCUGCAGUGUUCCUGCAAGAUCAGCACCAAGAGCUCGGACAGCACCCUCUCCGGACUCCUCCUUUACCCAUCAGGGCAGGUAGUACAGAGAGUCAAGACCACUGACAUCUUUUCUAAGCCUCAGUUUCCUCAACUGAAAAUACCUACCUUACAGAAAUAUUGAAAUUGAUUAAUAUUAUGCACAUCAAGUGUCUGGCACACAGUAGGGGCUCAGUAAAUGGUGGCUGUUAUCAUAAGUGCAUAAUCAAA
ensembl:lncRNA